UCCUGGUCCCUGGUGGGGCUGCCUGC
rnacentral:piRNA from 1 species